rnacentral:rRNA from 1 species
GAUGAACGCUGGCGGCGUGCCUAAUACAUGCAAGUCGAGCGAACGGACGAGAAGCUUGUUUCUCUGAUGUUAGCGGCGGACGGGUGAGUAACACGUGGAUAACCUACCUAUAAGACUGGGAUAACUUCGGGAAACCGGAGCUAAUACCGGAUAAUAUUCUGAACCGCAUGGUUCAAAAGUGAAAGACGGUCUUGCUGUCACUUAUAGAUGGAUCCGCGCUGCAUUAGCUAGUUGGGAAGGUAACGGCUUACCAAGGCAACGAUGCAUAGCCGACCUGAGAGGGGGGUCGGCGACACGGGAGCUGAGACACGGUCCAGGCUCCUACGGGAGGCAGCAGUAGGGAAUCGGCCGCAAUGGGCGAGAGCCUUACAGAGCGACGCCACGUGAGUGAUGACAGUCUUCGGAUCGUAAAACUCGCUUAUGGGGGAAGAACAUAUGUGUAAGGAACUGUGCACUGCGUGACGGUACCUAGUCAAGAAGCCACGGCUAACUACGUG